rnacentral:rRNA from 1 species
UACGUAGGGUGCAAGCGUUUGUCCGGAAUUAUUGGGCGUAAAGAGCUCGUAGGCGGUUUGUUGCGUCGGCUGUGAAAUCCCGAGGCUCAACCUCGGGUCUGCAGUCGAUACGAGCAAACUAGAGUGUUGGCAGGGGAGACUGGAAUUCCUGGUGAUAGCGGUGAAAUGCGCAGAGUAUCAGGAGGGAACACCGGUGGCGAAGGCGGGACUCUGGGC